ensembl:lncRNA
CUGGUUCUUGGUAGAAAUGCCCAGAGAAUGACAGUCUAGUGUCGUUGGAGUGUAGGACAGAAAUGUAUCGACAUGAAGGUCUGGAGCUCAAGGUAAUUAAUUUAUGGUUCCUCAGUGGGUGGGAUGCUUAGAAUCAAAGGAGGAAAGGGAAUAUGAAGCAACCUGUCAAAAUUGCAAAACUGAAUUUCUGUACACUUACUUCAGUGCCUUUGCAUUUGUGAAUAUAAGUCAGUGGGCCCGUUUUGUGAUGUGCCCCUAUCUCUCCUGUGGAAGAUUAAUGGUGUAAGGUGUUCUUUGGACCAAAGCUUCCAGGGCAGUCUGAAGGCUCAGAGAGGCAAGGGGUGACUUCCCAGGUCAGAUCAGACUUCUGAUGGGUCAGGCAGAAUACCAGUACCCACACCCUCCGCAGGCCUGCAGACAGACAGAUAAAUUCUCAUGGUCACUCCCAUGAGCGGAACCAGGACCAAUGGGUGAAACUUCAUAGCUCUAAGAGAAGACCUGCUAUCUGCCAGAGAAGCUGAGCUGCCCCAUCUUAGGAACUGUCCAGCAAAAGCCAGACAUCCUUUUAAAGGGAAGAAGGAGCUUUGCUGAGAUGGCCUUUAGGUUUUUUCCCCCCAGAUGAGUGAGAUGCUACAGAGCUGGGACCUUGCUGGAACGCCUUCCUUCCUGCAGAGCACAAAGCCAAACAGGUUGUGCUCACUUGUGUGAGCUAAAGCCCCCAGUCCCCUGCUGCCCCCCACCCCGCACGGGCCGAGAGGCUGCUCUGGCCACACAUCCAGGCUAGGUAUAACCAGAGAGAGUAUACCCAGAGAGAGCAGCUGCUGUGCCACAGAGCCCAUGCCCACCAAGAUCUCUGAUGAGACCAGUCACAGUGUAGACCCACUGGCCCACAGGGCCAUCACUGACAGCAGAAUCAGUAACGGUCCAAGCAGGACCCAGAGCAGGGUUUUGCACACCACACACCUUAACUCCAGAGGUGAUGUCUACACCCCUCCCCCAUACCUGAGACCUGCUAGAGCAGACUGCAAAAGCACAGUGACUCAGCUGACAGAUUAUCACCAUCCCCAGUACAUCCCUUUCAUUGCCAGACAGACCCUGAACUAGCCCAGGCUAACCCACACUGGUGAUCAGACUUGAAAGCACUUUCUACCUUCACUUUCACCCUACAUCUCACCAGCCAAUGAAAGGCAGAGAGUCGGGGCAUCUGCCAUUGCCUUGGCUACUGACACCAUCGUAGCCCUAGAAGGGCCAUCACGGGGUUCCCAUCAACUCCGGGGAGACUGACGUUUUCACGUCCACUGGGCACAUGAUAUUGCAUGAGACCAAAGUCUCCACACUGUCGGCAGCCUCCUCCGUGAGUCCCAGCGGCCUGCACUUGUACAGUUUGGGUGUUUGAUAGAUAAAGCACGUAUGAGAAGAGAAAACAAAAUAAAUCAACUUUAAAAAAAGCCAGCACUGUGCUGUCAAUGUUUUUUUUUUUUCCUUUCCAAUUCUAGCUUAAAAAAGCAGAAGGUAAAUAAUGUCAGGUCAAUGAAUAUCAGAUAUAUUUUUUGACUGUACAUUACAGUGAAGUGUAAUCUUUUUACACCUGCAAGUCCAUCUUAUUUAUUCUUGUAAAUGUUCCCUGAUGAUGUUUGUAAUAUGGCUGUGUUGAAAAUCUAUACAAUAAAGCUGUGACCCUGAGAUUCAUGUUUUCCUAA